GCCUAGCUGGCUCAGUUGGUAGAGCAUGUGACUCUUAAUCAUAGGGUCCUGAGUUCAAACCCCACACAGGGCA
rnacentral:tRNA from 1 species